rnacentral:rRNA from 1 species
GACGAACGCUGGCGGCGUGCUUAACACAUGCAAGUCGAACGGAAAGGCCCUGCUUUUGUGGGGUGCUCGAGUGGCGAAGGGGUGAGUAACACGGGAGUAACCUGCGCUUGACUUUGGGAUAACUUCAGGAAACUGGGGCUAAUACAGGAUAGGAGCUCCUGCUGCAUGGUGGGGGUUGGAAAGUUUGGGAGGGUGGGGAUGGAUUCGGGGGUUAAUAGCUUGUUGGUGGGGUAGUGGCUUACCAAGGCUUUGACGGGUAGCCGGCCUGGGAGGGUGACCGGGCACAUUGGGACUGAGGUACGGCCCAGUGUCCAACGGGAGGCAGCAGUGGGGAAUAUUGCACAAUGGGCGGAAGCCUGAUGCAGCAACGCCGCGUGCGGGAUGACGGCCUUCGGGUUGUAAACCGCUUUCGCCUGUGACGAAGCGUGAGUGACGGUAAUGGGUAAAGAAGCACCGGCUAACUACGUG